rnacentral:rRNA from 1 species
GGAGCUAACGCGUUAAGUCGACCGCCUGGGGAGUACGGCCGCAAGGUUAAAACUCAAAUGAAUUGACGGGGGCCCGCACAAGCGGUGGAGCAUGUGGUUUAAUUCGAUGCAACGCGAAGAACCUUACCUACUCUUGACAUCCAGAGAACUUUCCAGAGAUGGAUUGGUGCCUUCGGGAACUCUGAGACAGGUGCUGCAUGGCUGUCGUCAGCUCGUGUUGUGAAAUGUUGGGUUAAGUCCCGCAACGAGCGCAACCCUUAUCCUUUGUUGCCAGCGGUUCGGCCGGGAACUCAAAGGAGACUGCCAGUGAUAAACUGGAGGAAGGUGGGGAUGACGUCAAGUCAUCAUGGCCCUUACGAGUAGGGCUACACACGUGCUACAAUGGCGCAUACAAAGAGAAGCGACCUCGCGAGAGCAAGCGGACCUCAUAAAGUGCGUCGUAGUCCGGAUUGGAGUCUGCAACUCGACUCCAUGAAGUCGGAAUCGCUAGUAAUCGUAGAUCAGAAUGCUACGGUGAAUACGUUCCCGGGCCUUGUACACACCGCCCGUCACACCAUGGGAGUGGGUUGCAAAAGAAGUAGGUAGCUUAACCUUCGGGAGGGCG